UACGUAGGGGGCAAGCGUUUGUCCGGAUUUAUUGGGCGUAAAGAGCGUGUAGGCGGCCAAGCAGGUCCGCUGUGAAAACUCGAGGCUCAACCUCGAGACGUCGGUGGAAACCGUUUGGCUAGAGUCCGGAAGAGGCGAGUGGAAUUCCCGGUGUAGCGGUGAAAUGCGCAGAUAUCGGGAGGAACACCAAUUGCGAAGGCAGCUCGCUGGGACGUCGACUGACGCUGAGACGCGAAAGCGUGGGGAGCAAACAGGG
rnacentral:rRNA from 1 species